AGGGAUUUGGCUCAGUGGCAUAAGCGCCUGCCUGGCAAGCACGAGGUUGUGAGUUCAAUCCCUG
rnacentral:tRNA from 1 species